AGUCGGUUAUAAGUUGUUUUAUAAGCAACCGUCGAUGUAUUUCAAUUUUAGCCUCCGUGCGAAUUUCUUGAUGGUACGUACUUAGGCAUCCGCCAUGGCGUCUUCGCUAUUAAUUUCUGCAAGAUUGAUCGGCUCGAUACUUGGGGACAGUGAUCAAAGACGGGAUGGCUCUCUUGAGAUCUUUUGUCUCUGACGGACGACAAGGAAGUGUUUCGAACAACUUUGGUGUGUGAUGGAGAGGCGGCUUUGGGACAUAUUCUAGUUAUCGGCUUGGUCACAAUCUGAUUUUGUUACAAGCAAGGAAAUUGAUUCUUGUAACUUUGAGGUCUUAAAAGAGAAGUUGGUUAUUACGACAGACGUAAGAUAUCUGGACAGAAAAGGCCUAGUUUCAGGGGGGUCAUGUCUCUUUAUCUUUCAUCUUUGUCGACCGGCCUUUGCCAUGACAGGUGCGCUUGCAUGGCAGGUCAUCUCUUAAUAAAAAUAUACUUUUGGUUUUGGAGGGGAGAUCGCAUGGGUUUUUUGCCCAGGUUCUCCCCUCCGGUGUGUGUGUUUUUGUUGCGUUUUUCCUUCUCUCUCUCUCAAAGGCAUCCUUGACGGACGUGGUUGGAACUCUCAUACUCUCAAAAGGUACACGCUGCACUGCUAGUUUUGCUUUCCCAACUCCUCUUAAGUUAAUGAUGGCAUCAAACUUGACUAGCUCAGCAGGAAUGUUACCUUCUCUCCAAAGCAUCAACUUAAAUUAAUCAUAAAGAAACCGACUUGCCUAACAUGAACUUAUAGUAGAAGUCUUGAGCAUUUUAUAAGAUUCCUUUUUUUGUCUAAAUUUCUGCUGUUUAUAGUUAUCUAAACUGGUAAAUAUGGUGUUCUGCUCUAGGCGCAUGACUACUUAAAAAUAGAACACUCUUGUGAAUUCGCAAGGGAGGAUGGUCUCCGAAUUUUAGAAUUAUUAUUAGUUAUUUUUUUAUGUCCUUUUUUGUAAUCCAGAAAUGAGGAAGUUUGUUUAUUUUGACACAAAUCAUUCGAUCUGGUUCCUGGCAAAACUUCCUCCCAACUUUUUUGUAAUCCAGAAAGGAGACAAAAUCACAAAACUUAUACAUGGCCUCUUAAGUUACAAACUAAGCCCUAUUUCUGAUUUGAUAGCUGAAAGCAUUGUACUUGGUUGGGUGGACGCCGCCAUUGUGUUCUAUUUGCUUCUACUUUGAGGGUAGAAAUCAUUCGUAUAAUGGUGGCCUUGAUUCCCACUUAUGAAAUUCUUCUAUAUUGCAUCUGUUUGUGGAGUAGCAAAUAAAUAUUGAUGCCCAGUCACGCCCAAGGGAUCCAAGUAGAAUUACAUUGUUGUGAAACUAUGGCUACUAUAAACAGAGGUAAUUUAUCAUAAAUCUGGAAUCGUUAAAUAAAUGUUUAAACUGGUAUAAUUGCAGUUGUCUAACUAAAACAAUAUAUUGUACUUACCCAAGUUUUUGAGUUAUCAAUUGGUUAUAGCCAUCUAUUUAUGUGACGAACAGCCAGGAAAAAUUAUUACUAUGUAUUGUUUGAUUGACUUGAUUUCUGGUAAUCUUUAAAGUACUAAGUAACGGGUAUUUUGAUUCUGGAGGCUCAAAGCAUUACCUGCUUUGGUUGCGCCACGUUGCCAGAAGUUAUAUUGUAUAAACUAAUGGGUUCAAAUAAUUUGGGCAACGGCUUUUGAUCAAACACUAACAAUUGGUCACUUGUGAGAGAAACAUUGUUUAAACCGUCCACUUUGUUGCACCCUUUGGGCAAAUAAUGUCUGGACGUAUUGCACUCCAAAGUAACAUGUAGUCAAUGUUUGGGUAGCUGUUCUGCUGCACACUGAAGUUACUUGAGCAUAAAACCGAACUAUAUUGCAGUACAAACAAAUCAUUAGUCCAAUGUUGUGACAUGCAUGUCUGUGUGGCUCUCUUGUGCCCUUAUGAUGAGGUUUCGUUGCGUUGUCUUGCCUUGAUUAUGUUUCAUAUUGUAUAACCAUUAUAUUUUUGUGAACUGUUGGCUGUAUUUUUGGCCGGCCUUUUUAUCUUUGAAGGUGCUCUCUUAGAGGAUUUUGUUCUUAAUGGUUAUUGGGUUUCUAUGGAGUCACUUUUGGUAGGCUCGAUAAUUAUUUAGUAUGUGACAAACAAGUUUCCGGAUUGGCAUCUUGGGUUACCAGGACAAUGGGCUCUGUUGUCUUAGAAAAUUCAAUCUUUUGUGUUCGGAGCAUGAAGGAACGAGGCUUUUGUUCUUGUUGUCUAUGAAAUCUGUCCUGUUCCCCUGAGGGCUGAGGCCCUCGAUUGUUCACAGCAAUUCCUGAUCAUUAAUGAAGCAGCUGCUUUGACGAUAUGUGGAUUAGGAUUUUGAUGUUCUACUACACUGGAUAUUGCGGUCACUGUGAAAGCUUCUUCUACAGAUUGAAGGAGGACUAGUGGACAGCGUUUCUAAAUAAUUCCAGAUUUUUGGGGCAUCUCUAUGUUGAUUAAGGAGAUGGGAAGGCCUAAUUUCUGAGUGGUGUCUUUUUGGAUCCUUGUUGGUGUUCUUCCUGAAACUUAAAUAGAGACUUAAGGAAGAAACGAAACAUUUGCCUGUCUCCGAGCAUAUGGUUGCCGUUGCUGAAGGAGUUGUAGGUACUGCGUCUGCAUUGCCUGUGGUUGCUGCGGGAGUGUCAGAUCUGUAAUACGACCGGUAGUAAAUGAAGCGCUUCUUGACAUGCUCGUAAAUUGGACGCACCAUUGGAGGUGGUGCUUCAGUGAAAUUCAAGCUUUUGUGAGUCAGCAGGAAUAAUAGAUGCUGCAAGUCCGGCGGUCCAUUGAUCAAUUAGAUCCCUAUUGUGCUGCUGUUUGGCGCUUCAGAUCACCCUAUUGGAGCUGACCACGGUUUGUGUCGUGUUCGUGGAUACCCUUCCUCUUACUCUAAUGGGUGCAGAAAGCCUCGUGUUCUAAAUUUGGUAUCCAAUCAGCUCUAUCCUCUGGUUCAAAAUCUUUUUCUUAAGUUUGUUAUUUACUGCGACUGCUGUCUAGAUUAGUAGGUUCUAGUAUCUUUCUGAGAUGUAUAAACAUGAGCAUUUAAAACUACGUUUGAUUUUUUUUUAAUCAGUUUUUAUGUAUUUA